GGGGAUGUAAGUUUCGACGGAAGCAUUUAUGUAGCUUUGCGUUACGGAAGGGCGAGACCUUCCUUAAAAUCUCGCAAAAUAGAACUGCCAACGCACGUUCAGGAGAGCAGGGUUCCCGAAUGGCCUCGCCAUUUGGGUUUCCGGCUUUCGCUUUCGCCUAACCCUCGAGCGUAAGCUCGGGUUAGCGAGAGCCGUCUCUCUAGUUUUGGUUUCAAGGGACUAGAAUAGGCGUAACAUUCUUGAAACUUUGCUCUAGUACUUGGCCCGACAUUAGAGCAAGAUACGGGCACAGGUGGGAUAAGAUUUCGUUCACUCUUUUACUUACCCAUCCAAAAAAAAGUGAACUAUGUAACGUAGAUGAGGCCUCAUAUACCUUCCGGACGGGGGUUCAAUCCCCCCAUCUCCACAC
rnacentral:tmRNA from 1 species